rnacentral:rRNA from 1 species
AGCGAACGCUGGCGGCAUGCCUUACACAUGCAAGUCGAACGGCAGCACGGGAGCAAUCCUGGUGGCGAGUGGCGAACGGGUGAGUAAUGUAUCGGAACGUACCUUUCAGUGGGGGAUAACGUAGCGAAAGUUACGCUAAUACCGCAUAUUCUGUGAGCAGGAAAGCAGGGGAUCGCAAGACCUUGCGCUGAUUGAGCGGCCGAUAUCAGAUUAGCUAGUUGGUGAGGUAAAGGCUCACCAAGGCGACGAUCUGUAGCGGGUCUGAGAGGAUGAUCCGCCACACUGGAACUGAGACACGGCCCAGACUCCUACGGGAGGCAGCAGUGGGGAAUUUUGGACAAUGGGCGCAAGCCUGAUCCAGCCAUGCCGCGUGAGUGAAGAAGGCC